AUAGGGGUGCGGUUUGCACAGCAAGAGGACCGUUUUCCUUACAUCGUGUCCCAGCCUUUGCCUUGGCAGGUACACUCAGUGUCACAUAGUCGGAGGAGCAGCAAAGCAGAUGAGUUUGAUGGCUACAGGAGGAACAGCAUAGGCGUGUAUAGAAAGAACUCUUCCUCCAUGGCUAUUGCUUCAGCCUCUCUGGCUAUCCUGUCGUGCUCGGGCUCCAAGACCAGCAAUGGGACCGCUGCUCCCCCGCUCAGCCCGGUGGAGGUGGAGAAGGCCGCCGCCACCAUCCAGACCCAUUACAGGAAGUUCCAGCAGAAGAAACAGAAGAACGGCAAGUAGGCGGACAAAGAGGGAUGGAGGUACCGAUGCAGCAGCCUGGGAGACAACAGGAAGCAGGUGGGAGGAAUCUGGAUUCACCAAACAACGGAUGAACUCUGUGACUAUACAAAUGCACACAUAUUCAUACUGUACAAUAUACAUUUAGGGGAGCUUUGAAUUAGUAAAACACUGUGCAGAAUAAAAUAACCGUAGUAGUUUCUUUCUCCAACAACUGGAAAGAUUUUAAAUUCUAUGUGAAUGAUUUGUUGUAUAUAUUACAAAAUCUGAAUGAAUGUUAGUUGUGUGCUCUGAAUACUGAGUGACUGUGUGUGUGACUGUGAAUGCUGUUAAUAAAUAUAACCAAUGUUAUAUCCAAUAUAACAAUAUUGAGAGGAACACAUAUUAUAAUGCGUCAACAUUUCUGAUCUUAUAAUAGAACGUGUAGAAAAACAACCUAUUUUAAUAAACUCCUCUUUAAGACUUGCUGUGUUUCAUUGCAGCAUGAUGCCCUCUAGUGUUUCAAUCAGGUUCUGAAUCAUAUUAUGAAAUAACUGCACUUCCAGUGGUUUAAACAUGCUGGAUUGGAGUCUGUAAAAAAAACCCUGCAGUUGCUUUUAUUUUAUUUUUUAAAUAAAUACAUGUAUUUAUUAUUUUGCAAUUUGUUUUCACAUAACUGGCUCUGCCUUGUUUGUUUUGACUGACACAAAGUUACGUUUUGAAAAUGGUUUUGGAUUAAUUGACAAUUACUUGUAAACAUGUUUAGUCUGUAUUCAUUUAUAAAGUUAUGGAUAUAUUUCCUUAUGUCUUGUUUGUAUUUGUGUGUGUUACUUUGAACCGUUUAUUAAAGUAACCUUAG